ensembl:lncRNA
CAAAAUGUGCUUAAGCUUGCAGUGUGAAAAGUUACUCAUUGUUUUUGCAAACAAGUUCCCUAAAACAGCCUCUCAACUUUCAUUGGUUGAUACUGCUGGCAAGAUGUUGGACAGCCUUUAACACACGUUUCUUAAACGCUGUAUAUUUCUCAGUGACCCAUUCAGUGCAAGUCUCUAAAGUCGGGCAUUUGAAACUACAGCUGGAAAUUCGCAGCAGCUUGUCUCUUAUUUAAAGUAGCCUACAUAAGGAAUUACUUCGAAGACCACUGUCAAGGAAAUCCACAACGGAGGUACCAUGCUUGAAUGUCUGUGGAGGCCACUAGUAAGAGUCUGGAGACUCCUGUGCUGCAUGUGACUGAUGACUCUGAAAUAAAACGUUCAAAAGAAGAAACUGAAGCAGUGUCAAUCAUCACCAGUGUCCCUAGCUCUGUCCAUCCAUGGUUUGAGAAAUAUGGAGAAGAUGAUGGAGUUUAGUGUGGAGGGCUAAAUACAUGAUUUUUGUUUCAUAUGUUAUUAUGGUCAUUGCUCAUGGGCUCCCCGCAUGUAUUAGGAGCACAUGCCUUCACUUUGUGGGACAACUCUCAAGGACUCUGCAGGACAAGACUUUCCCCAAAAGGGCCAAAACUGCAGUGGGCAUUACCUCCAGUUCAUUUUUUACACUGGAAAUGGAAAAUUGAGUCAAGCACAUGGUACUGUUACUCUGUAACUGUAACUGUAAAUUCAUGAGUAUUCAAACUAUAUUUGUAUUCUUUUUUACUGCCUGGAAAUGAAUGUCUAAAACUUUUUAUUUCAAAAUACAGGAUGUCAUUUUCAGCCCAACUGGACUGGUUUAGGAAACAAAUACAAGAUUGAGCCACACAAAAAUCUGGCCAGUGAUAAUGUAUUUUUGUAGAGCAACCCCAAAAUUUGCAUCAACCUGGUUUCCUUGACAAAAACACAAUUUCCAUUGGCUUUUGGAUUAUUGCAGAAAAUAUGCUUUACAAAUGAAGCCUGCUUCUGAAGCUAAAUACAUCUAAAGAUCUUUUAGAUGUCAACCAGUUUUUGCUACUUCUCAAACUCAUCUAAACCUAGCUGUAUAAUGCUCUUUUAAAAAAAUGUUAAAAACCUGCUUUAAGUAGCUUGUUUUUCAUUAAUGUUCUAUUGUUUUAUGCUUUAAGUUUGUGUCUAUUUUAUGUUAGUCAGAGUACUUUGGUCAACAAUCCUUUUUUGAUUUAUGAUAUUUUUGUCUUUUAUAAUACAGGUGUUAACACUUUUUUUUUUUUGCAACAUUUUGUAUAUUUUAUGUAAUGAAGCAAAACUGUAGUUUGCAAGUCUGUGGUUAACAACACCCACACGUUUUACGUAGUUCAGCAGAUUUUUUUUUUUAAUAUCAGAG